rnacentral:rRNA from 1 species
UGCGUAGGCGGUUAGAUAAGUCAGAGGUGAAAGUUUGCAGCUUAACUGUAAAAUUGCCUUUGAAACUGUAUAACUUGAAUAGCGUUGAGGUCAGCGGAAUGUGACAUGUAGCGGUGAAAUGCAUAGAUAUGUCAUAGAACACCAAUUGCGAAGGCAGCUGGCUGGGCGUUUAUUGACGCUGAGGCACGAAAGCGUGGGGAGCGAACAGGAUUAGAUACCCUGGUAGUCC